GUGCCAGCCGCCGCGGUAAUACGAGUGGUGCGAGCGUUAAUCGGAAUUACUGGGCUUAAAGGGUGCGCAGGCGGGUCCGCAAGCAUUCUGUGAAAUCCCCCGGCUCAACCGGGGAACUGCAGGGUGGACUGCGGGUCUUGAGAAAGGUAGGGGCCGACGGAACGAUCGGUGGAGCGGUGAAAUGCGUAGAUAUCGAUCGGAACGCCAAUGGUGAAGACAGUCGGCUGGGCCUUUUCUGACGCUCAUGCACGAAAGCGUGGGGAGCAAACAGGAUUAGAUACCCUCGUAGUCC
rnacentral:rRNA from 1 species